ACAAAGGAAGCGGCCAUUCUAGUGCCGUCGUCUUGUAGCGAGUGUAAAUGAAGGAAGAUUCAUAAGCCUAAGAAAGUGAAGUAAAAUCUUCAGACGGGUCGAGAAUCGAGCACCAAUCGAUCACGAAGAACAUACAGGAAGACCAUGUUUGGUGAGCACAUGAUUCACUCUACAAAGUACUGUACUGUACGCUAUGUGAAGCAAGAAUUAAACAACGCAUAAUCGUGUAUUUUCUG